UCACCUUGUGUUUGUAAUCUUUUGGCCUUGCUGUGGCUGGUGGGAUCCAUUCCAGUGUUACAUUUCCAGUGACACAUACAUGACUGGCUAGUGGCUUUCACUUUCUGGUCUUGGAGACACCC
rnacentral:snoRNA from 1 species